rnacentral:rRNA from 1 species
UAGGGAAUCUUCCGCAAUGGGCGAAAGCCUGACGGAGCAACGCCGCGUGAGUGAUGAAGGUCUUCGGAUCGUAAAACUCUGUUAUUAGGGAAGAACAAAUGUGUAAGUAACUAUGCACGUCUUGACGGUACCUAAUCAGAAAGCCACGGCUAACUACGUGCCAGCAGCCGCGGUAAUACGUAGGUGGCAAGCGUUAUCCGGAAUUAUUGGGCGUAAAGCGCGCGUAGGCGGUUUUUUAAGUCUGAUGUGAAAGCCCACGGCUCAACCGUGGAGGGUCAUAGGAAACUGGAAAACUUGAGUGCAAAAGAGAAAAGUGGAAUUCCAUGUGUAGCGGUGAAAUGCGCAGAGAUAUGGAGGAACACCAGUGGCGAAGGCGACUUUCUGGUCAGUAACUGACGCUAAUGUGCGAAAGCGUGGGGAUCAAACAGG